rnacentral:rRNA from 1 species
AUUGAACGCUGGCGGCAGGCCUAACACAUGCAAGUCGAGCGGUAGAGAGGUGCUUGCAUCUCUUGAGAGCGGCGGACGGGUGAGUAAUGCCUAGGAAUCUGCCUAGUGGUGGGGGAUAACGUUCGGAAACGGACGCUAAUACCGCAUACGUCCUACGGGAGAAAGCGGGGGGAUCUUCGGACCUCGCGCCAUUAGAUGAGCCUAGGUCGGAUUAGCUAGUUGGUGAGGUAAUGGCUCACCAAGGCGACGAUCCGUAACUGGUCUGAGAGGAUGAUCAGUCACACUGGAACUGAGACACGGUCCAGACUCCUACGGGAGGCAGCAGUGGGGAAUAUUGGACAAUGGCGAAAGCCUGAUCCAGCCAUGCCGCCGUGUGUG